UACGUAGGGGGCUAGCGUUGUCCGGAAUCAUUGGGCGUAAAGAGCGCGUAGGCGGCCAGAUAAGUCCGGUGUGAAAGUCACAGGCUCAACCUGUGAAUGCCGCUGGAAACUGUCUGGCUAGAGUCCGGAAGGGGCGAGUGGAAUUCCUGGUGUAGCGGUGAAAUGCGCAGAUAUCAGGAAGAACACCAACGGCGAAGGCAGCUCGCUGGGACGGUACUGACGCUGAGACGCGAAAGCGUGGGGAGCGAACAGG
rnacentral:rRNA from 1 species